GUGUAAGUACUAGCCAAAACUAAAAUGGUGAAACCGCGAAAAGCUCAUUAAAUCGGCUUUGGUUCCUUAGAUAGUAAGCAGAAAUGAUUUUCCAAAAUGUAAAUAUUUAUUUAUUUUGUUUUGGAGAAAAAAUUCUGAUAUUGGAUAACUGUGGUAAUUCUAGAGCUAAUACAUGAAAAUUAAAUCAGUGUGAAAUUUUUUUGCAAAAAAAAAUUUUGCACGCUUUUAUUAGAGGAAAAAGCCAAUUUAAAAAUAAUUUUUUUUUUUCAAAAAAAAUUAUUUAAUAUUAAUUAAAUAAAUUUAAAAUUUUAACAUUUUAAAUUUUUUUAGUGUUGAAUCUGAAUAACUUAAACAAAUUUCUAUAUAAAAAAUAUGUAAUUUAAUUGAUAAUUUAUUAUUGAACUGGUGCAAACCAGUUUUAAUGAUGAUUGUUAAUUAUUUAUAUAGUUUUUUAAUUAUUAUAGAAGUUUAAAGCUGACCGCAACAAUAUGCUUUUUAAAGAAAUUUUUGUAAAAGAAAAUUUUUUCAAUUAGUAUUGCGGCGUAUCUUUCAAUUGUCUGCCUUAUCAACUUUCGAUGGUAGAUUACAUGCCUACCAUGGUUAUAACGGGUAACGGAGAAUCAGGGUUCGAUUCCGGAGAGGGAGCCUGAGAAACGGCUACCACAUCUAAGGAAGGCAGCAGGCACGCAAAUUACCCACUCCCAGCUCGGGGAGGUAGUGACGAUAAAUAACGAUACGGAACUCUAAUGAGUUUCCGUGAUCGGAAUGAGUGUAAUUUAAAUCCUUAUACGAGGAGCAAAUGGAGGGCAAGUCUGGUGCCAGCAGCCGCGGUAAUUCCAGCUCCAUUAGCAUAUAUUAAAGUUGUUGCGUUUAAAAAGCUCGUAGUCGAAUUUUGUAUCUCGGCGUGUCAGUCGUUUAGUAAUUUAAAUAUUAUUAAAUUUGAUGUGACAAUUUUCGCAUGAGAUAUAAAUAUUGGUGGAUUUUUAAGUAAUCAAAAUAAAAAAUUUUCAUUUUUUUUUUGAUUAUAAAAUUCGAUACAAAAUAAUUUUUUUUAUUAAUAUAAAUUAUUUAUAGAAAAAAUGAAUUUUUUUUAAUGGAAAAAUUUAAAUUUAUUUUUAAGUUUAAUUUUUUCCUUCUAAAUUUGUUAAAAAAAUAUUAAUUUUUUUAACAUAAAAAAAUUUAGAUAUUUAUAAAAUUUUAUUUAAUCAAUAGUGGAGAAAGUUUUUUCACCAUUAUUGAAAAAUUUUAUUAAAUAAUUAAAAAAAAGUUAAUUAAUUAUUUCUUUUUAAUUAAUUAAUAAUUUUUUUAUUUUAAAUAAUUUAUUUAAUUAUCGUAAAAAUAUUUUGUAUUCUAAUAAAAAUUAUGUUAUUUUUAUAAUGCAUAAUUUUUUGAUUUUAGACCAAUAAAAUUACUUUGAACAAAUUAGAGUGCUUAAAGCAGGCAAAAUUAAAUGCCUUGAAUAUAAACAGCAUGGAAUAAUAGAAUAUGAUCUCGAUACUGUUUUUAAAAAUAUUAAAAAAUAUUUAAUGUACAAAAAUUUUUCAUUUUUUUUUAAAAAUGACAAAAUUUGUACAUUUUAAAUUGGCUUAAAGAAUAAAUUAUUUUUAUAAAAAUUUUAUUUAAAAAAUAAAAAAAUAAAUUUUUCCAUAAAAUUUAUUAAUUUUUAUUUUUAUUACAUGAAUAAAUUAAAAUAUUUAUUCGACA
rnacentral:rRNA from 1 species